CAAGACAUAGCUUAAAAAAAGCAUUUAGCUUACACCUAAAAAAUCCCACAAUCCGUGUGUGUCUUGA
rnacentral:tRNA from 1 species